AUGUCUUCAAAUAGGAGAAAUUAUGAAGUGAAUUGGAAGGAGAUAGGAGGUUAAAAAUUAUUGAAGGUGGUGUUUUACUGCCAAUUGAAGAUCAAUUUCAUCUGUUAUAUGGUUUAAUGGUAGGACUGAACAAAAUACCUUUGCAUGCACUGUCUACCAUAUUGAGAAAACCAGGAGCAUGAGCCAUCAAGAGACUGUAAUCAUCAUUAAUAAUUGAAUCUACUUGCAAGUCAUCAACAAUACCUCAGUGAUAUUAAUAAUACAUAGUUAUUUUUAAUAAAAUUAAAUUUCAAAUAUUAUUGGUAUGUAUAUUUUCUCUCUUUUAUAUUUCCUCUCCUUUGUUUCCUUCACCUUUGGAGUUUAAAUUAAAAUUCUCAUGUUGAGAAUAUUUCCAGAACAGUCUUAAAGUUCCUCCCUCCCACCCCCAUGUGUCUCCCUUUCUCUCUGUCCCUCUCUAUCUCACACUGGAGCUCCAUCAAUAAAGUCUUGUGUAAUGAAUACAACAUUUCAAAACUCCUCUCAUCAAAAAAUAUUUUUCAGUCCUAA
rnacentral:lncRNA from 1 species